AUCCAUUUGGCGAAAGGUGAAACGGAAAGCAUUACUUAUGGAAUGUUUGGCGAGAAAUUAUGGCGGAAUUGUGCCUAAAUAAUUGUAUUCGGUCCGAAAAAAAUUGGUGACGGGGAGGGAGGUUGACACGAAUGUAGGAUCAUGACGCCCUUUCAUUUUCUUUGGUGCCCUUUUAUUAAGGAGUAUGCCCUCUUGUUAACCAAUUGAACCCCUUGCCCUCAGCAACUUCCGGCAUCCCUGGGUUGGACAAUGUCCGUGACCGACCGAUAUUUUAAGGCCAGGGUUAAGGGUUAGAGUAGGGGUAGGGUUUGGGUUAGUUACAUAAUCAUUUAACACCUCUUCCAUCUUCCGAAAAUGACGUCAGGUCAGUUUGCUGGAUGGAAAAUAGUGCUAACCGCACAAUUAAAGUCUACAUUUUAG